rfam:Myotis lucifugus cont2.60917, whole genome shotgun sequence.
GGCAGUUCUCAGGUGACAUACCCCAGAAUUGGGCUCCAUCCGCUCUGGUUCUAGGUGUGUCACCUGAGAACCGCA